ensembl:lncRNA
GGGAUGAAUUGGAGCUACAGAUUCUGGGCUACACCACAGCUCAUGGCAACGCCAGAUCCUUAACCCACUGAGCAACGCCGGGGAUGGAACCUGCAACCUCAUGGUUACUAGUCAGAUCUGUUUUUGCUGUGCCACAACAGGAGCCCCUGUACUGUUUAUUCUUGACUUUGCAUUUCCAUAUACAAUUUAGAAUCAACUUGUCAAUUUCAGUAGUAGAAUAGCAACAACAAAAAUCUGGGAUUUUGAUUAGAUUUUAUUGAAUCUGUAAGUAAACUUGGGAAGAAUUAGUAUUUUUUCAUAACUAUGUUCUUUAAUCCAUGAACAUAGUAUAGAGUUUUUUUCUUUUUUUGUCUUUUUAGGGUCGCACCUGCAGCAUAUGGAGGUUCCCAAGCUAGGGGCUGAAUCAGGAACUGUAGCCAUCAGCCUAUGCCACAGCAACGCCAGAUCCAAGCCGUCUCUGUGACCUAUACCACAGCUCACAGCCACAAAGAAACUUUAACCCACUGAGCAAGGCCAGGCAGGGAUUGAACCUGCGUCCUCAUGGAUACUAGUCAGAUUUGUUUGUGCUGAGCCACAGUGGGAACACCCAGUAUAUUCUUCAUUUAUUUAGAUCUUUAAUUUUUCCAAUAAUAUUCUGUGGUUUUCUAUGUGGAGGUACUUUUUUUGUGGAUUUAUUUCUAGGCAUUUUGAUUUUUUUUUUUGGUGUUAUUUUAUGUAGUAUUGAAUUUUUUUUCUUUUCUAGUUGCUACUUACUGCAGUAAUAUUCUUGCUAAAUUAACUUAUUAAUUCCAACAGUUUAUGUAGAUCCUGAGAUAGGACAAUACAGAGAUUUAAAUAAAUGCAUCUUGUGCUUUUAUGUAUAUGCUUACAAAUAUAUGCAAAAUAUGUUCAUUUUAUUAUUAUAGUAGCAAAUUAGAAAUAACCCAAAUUCCUGUCAGUUGUGGUUCAUUGUUACUAUACACAGUAUGUUUCUGUUUAAAAAAGAGAUGGGAGUUCUCGUGGCUCAGUGGUUAAUGAACCUAAUGUUGAUGAGGGCGCAGGUUCAGUCCCUGGCCUUGCUCAGUGGGUUUAAGAUCCAGUGUGGCUGUGGCUGUGGCGUAGGCCAGCAGGUACAGCUCCAAUUCGACCCCUAGCCUGGGAUCCUCUAUAUGCCUUCGGUGGGGCCCUAAAAAGACCAAAAAAGGGGGGGAGGGGGAAACAGUUAUACUACUAUAGAAAGAUAUUUGCGUACAAUAUUAAAUGAGAAUAGUAAGAUACAUAAUAUACAUAAUUUAUAUGUAUAAAAUAGGAAAAUUGUAUUUGCAUUUGCCUGUCUUUAGAAAUUUUCUGAAAGAUAAAACUUUUCAUUUCAAAAAUCAGCUGUAGGAGUUGCUGUCAAGGCUCAGUGGUAACCAACCCAUCUAGGAACCAUGAGGAUGUGGGUUCGAUCCCAGGCCUCACGUAGGGGGUUGUUAGGGUUCUGGCAUUGCUGUGGCAGUGGUCUGGCUCAGCAGUAGUGACAGCUCUAAUUUUACCCCUAGCCUGGGAACUUCCAUAUGCUGCAGGUGUGGCCAUAAAAAGACAACCCCCCCCAAAAAAAAAUCAGCUCUAUUUGACUUAUAACGGCAUGUAUAUGAAGUCUAGAUUUGAGAAGUUAUGACAUGUGUGCACUUGUAAAACUAUCAUAAUGAGGAUUGUCAAUAUAGCCGUCAACCUCAAAACUUUGCUUGCUGUAGUUUGUAGUUUCCUCCCUCCUAUUUUUCCUUCCUUUGAUUCUAAAGCAACCACUAAUCUGCUUUUCUGUUAUUUUACAUUAGUUUGCAUUUUCUAGAAUUUUAUAUAUCAUCAUAUAGUUAUGUACUCUUUUUUUUUUUUUUUUUUUUUCCCCAGAGGGACAUGGUCUGAUUUCGUAAUUUUUUUGAGAUUGAUUCAUGUUGCUGGUAUCAAUAAUUUAUUCCUUUUAUUAGCUGGGAAUUAUUAUACCACAGUUUGUUGAUAUUCACCUAUUGAUGGAUGUUUGGAUUGUUGCAGUUUUUUGUCUUCUACUAAUAAAGCUACUAUGAAUGUGGACAAGUCUUUUUUUAAUUAAAAAUUUUUUAAAUCGUAAUGUUUAUUAACUUUAAAAAAUUAUAGUUGUUUUACAGUGUGCCAUUUUCUGCUGUAGAGCAAAGUGACCCAGUUAAUACAUACAUACCUAUAUAUACACACACAUGUAUAUACAUUUCCUUUAUAUUACUUUUCAUCAUGUUCUAUCCCAGAGACUGGAUAUAGUUCCCUGUACUGUACAGUAGGGACUCAUUGCUUAUCUAUCCUAAAUGUAAUAGUUGGCAUCUACUAACCCCAACCUCCCAGUCCGUCCCAUUCCUCCUACCCUUACCCAUCCACCUAGCAACAACAAGUCUUUUCUUUAUGUCUGUGAGUCUCCGUUUUGUAGGUUGGUUUAUUUCUGCCCUAUUUUAUUUAUUUACUUAUUUUGCUUUUUAGGGCUGUAGCCAUGGCAUAUGGAGGUUUCCAGGCUAGAGUUCACAUUGGAGCUACAGCUACUGGCCUAUGCUACAGCCAUAGCAACACCGGAUCUGAGCUGAGUCUGAGACCUAAACCACGCCCAUGGCAAUUUGGAUCCUUGGCCCUCUGAGUGAGAUACAGAUGAAACCCACAUCCUCAUGGUUCCUACACAUUUCGUUACCUCUGAGCCAUGACAUGAACUCCCUCUGCCAUAUUUUAGAUUGUGUAUGUAAGUGAUUUCACUCAGUAUGCUUAUCUCUGAUUGCAUCCAUUUUGCUGCAAGUGGCAGUUUCGUUUUUAUUAUGGCAGAGUAGUGUUCCAUGGUGUAUAGGUAUCACAUCAUGAUAAUUCAUCUGUUGAUGGACAUUUAGUUGUUUCUGUUUCUUGGCUGUUAUGAAUAGUGCUGCAGUGAACAUAGGGGUACGUGCAUGUCUUUGCAUUAUAAUUUUGUCCAGACAAAUGUCCAGGAGUGGGAUUGCUGGAUCAUGUGGUAGUUCUAUAUUUAGUUUUUUUGAGGAACCCAUACUGUUUUCCAUAGGGGUACCGAUUUACAUUCCAGUCAUUGGUGUAGGACUGUUCCCUUUUCUCCACAUCCCCUCCAGCAUUUGUUACUUACAGACUUACUAAGGACAGACAUUCUGACUGCUGUGAGGUGGUACCUCAUUGUGGUUUUGAUUUGCAUUUCUCUAAUGAUUAGUGAUGUUGAGCACUUUUUCACGUGCCUCCUUAG